rnacentral:rRNA from 1 species
GACAUAGGUGGCAAACGUUAUCCGGAAUUAUUGGGCGUAAAGGGCGCGUAGGCGGUCAGCACAAGUCAGUUGUGAAAUCUCCGGGCUUAACUCGGAAAGGUCAACUGAUACUGUGCGACUAGAGUGCGGAAGGGGCAACUGGAAUUCUUGGUGUAGCGGUGAAAUGCGUAGAUAUCAAGAGGAACACCUGCGGCGAAGGCGGGUUGCUGGGCCGACACUGACGCUGAAGCGCGAAAGCCAGGGGAGCGAACGGG